UAGGAUUUGGUGUAUUGUGGUAGCACGAAGAUUUUUGGAUUCUUAAGAUUAGGUUCAAUUCCUAUAAUUCUAG
rnacentral:tRNA from 1 species